GCGACACGAACGCGGCCUGUACCUUCUAAGUACUCUACGCGGUAUUCGCUGAGGGAGGCCGACGAGACCUUUGGAUAUCUCGGACCACCACCCCCUAACGACCAAAGGAAUUUCACCAAACGAGCAAAAAGCCCUUAUCCCUUUGCACGUAGAACAAAAGUUUUCGUCGAAUCAUGCAUUACGGUGAUACGAGUGACACUUGAGAGUUUGCGAUAGAAAUGGUAAUAGUGGAUACACUCGCGAGUCCAGCACCUUCUUCAUCCUGAGUUAGAGAAAGAGGGAUAAGGGAAGAAGGAGGAAGUUGAGGAGGAAGAGGAGGAGAUGGAGGUGGAGGUAGAGGUGGAGGAAGAGAUAGAGGACGAAGAAGUUCGCGCACGAAGAAGAAGGGACUUGACGACCGCAUCGUUUCUCUUCAUCCGCAGCUGUAAGCCGAAGAAAGAGGGGGCGGAACGGGAUACGCGCUUUUUCUACCGCGCGUCAUUAAUAUCCGUUGCCGCGACGCCCUCUCGCAAUUUGUCAACAUCCGAUAUUUAAUUUCACGCCCUUUUACCCCUGACCGUGCCAGCACGGUUGGACACUAGCUAUAUAGUACGUGCAUUAGCAGGUGCGAAAAUGAUUCCCGUUGUUUGUUCAGAUCAAAAAUUUCUUAUAUUAGAAAAUCUUAUCUUAUGUAAUAAGCAUUUA